rnacentral:lncRNA from 1 species
GGGGGAAUUCAGCAAUUCUUUGGUUGCUAAGUGUGAGUGACAACUGUUAAGCAUGGCCCAAGGAGCCACUGAUCAAAGUAAUGUGGAAACUGCUGACCCAGAGGAGAGUUCUCCAAAUAUGAUUGUCUACAGAAAGAAUAAAGAAUGCUCCGGCUUUGAG